UACGUAGGGGGCUAGCGUUGUCCGGAUUUAUUGGGCGUAAAGAGCGUGUAGGCGGCCAGGUAGGUCUGCUGUGAAAACUCGAGGCUCAACCUCGAGACGUCGGCGGAAACCAUCUGGCUAGAGUCCGGAAGAGGAGAGUGGAAUUCCUGGUGUAGCGGUGAAAUGCGCAGAUAUCAAGAAGAACACCCGUGGCGAAGGCGGCUCUCUGGGACGGUACUGACGCUGAGACGCGAAAGCGUGGGGAGCGAACAGG
rnacentral:rRNA from 1 species